rnacentral:rRNA from 1 species
UUGAUCCUGGCUCAGGAUGAACGCUGGCGGCGUGCCUAAUACAUGCAAGUCGAACGGGAGCCCUUGAUUUCGAUUGAGGGUGAGAGUGGCGCACGGGUGCGUAACACGUAGCUGACCUGCCCUUUGCAGGGGGAUAACUUGCUGAAAGGUGAGCUAAUACCGCGUAGGCUCGUCGGGAUUAGAAGCCCAAUGAGUAAAGAGAUGGCAUCGGCAAAGGAGGGGGCUGCGGCCCAUCAGCUAGUUGGUGAGGUAACGGCUCACCAAGGCGACGACGGGUAGGGGGCCUGAGAGGGUGACCCCCCACACUGGCACUGAGACACGGGCCAGACUCCUACGGGAGGCAGCAGUAAGGAAUAUUGCCCAAUGGGCGCCAGCCUGAGGCAGCAACGCCGCGUGGAGGAUGACGGUCUUCGGAUUGUAAACUCCUUUUCGGUGGGAAGAGGACGGACGGUACCACCGGAAGAAGUCUCGGCUAACUACGUGCCAGCAGCCGCGGUAAAACGUAGGAGGCGAGCGUUAUCCGGAUUUACUGGGCGUAAAGCGCGCGCAGGUGGUGGCUGAAGUGGUGCGUGAAAGCUCCCGGCUCAACUGGGAGAGGCCGUACCAAACUCGGUCACUGGAGACAGAUAGAGGCUGACGGAAUUCCGGGUGGAGUGGUGAAAUGCGUAGAGAUCCGGAGGAACACCAGUGGCGAAGGCGGUCAGCUGGGUCUGAUCUGACACUGAGGUGCGAAAGCGUGGGGAGCGAACGGGAUUAGAAACCCCGGUAGUCCACGCCGUAAACGAUGCAGACUAGAUGUUGGAUAUCGAAAGGUAUUCAGUGCCGCAGCCAACGCGAUAAGUCUGCCGCCUGGGGAGUACGGUCGCAAGGCUAAAACUCAAAGGAAUUGACGGGGGCCCGCACAAGCAGCGGAGCGUGUGGUUUAAUUCGAGGCUACGCGAAGAACCUUACCUGGACUUGACAUGCUGGUAGUAGGGAACCGAAAGGGGACCGACUUCGGAGCCAGCACAGGUGCUGCAUGGCUGUCGUCAGCUCGUGCCGUGAGGUGUUCGGUUAAGUCCGAAAACGAGCGCAACCCCUGGCGUUAGUUACAAGUGUCUAACGCGACUGCCCGGGGAAACCGGGAGGAAGGUGGGGAUGACGUCAAGUCAGCAUGGCCUUGAUGUCCAGGGCUACACACACGCUACAAUGGCCGGUACAAUAGGCAGCCAAGCCGCGAGGUGGAGCGAAUCCAGGAAAGCCGGUCACAGUUCGGAUUGUAGGCUGCAACUCGCCUGCAUGAAGUCGGAGUUGCUAGUAAACGCGGAUCAGCUACGCCGCGUUGAUACGUUCCCGGGCCUUGUACACACCGCCCGUCACGUCAUGGGAGCUGGUCACGCCUGAAGUCGGUGAGCCAACCGUAAGGGAGCAGCCGCCGAGGGUGGGGCUGGUGACU